GAUGAGAACGUAGCGAAAUGCGAUAAGUAGUGUGAAUUGCAGAAUUCUGUGAAUCAUCGAAUCUUUGAACGCACAUUGCGCCCUUUGGUAUUCCAAAGGGCAUGCCUGUUCGAGCGUCAUUUGUACCCUCAAGCUUUGCUUGGUGUUGGGCGUCUUGUCUCUAGCUUUGCUGGAGACUCGCCUUAAAGUAAUUGGCAGCCGGCCUACUGGUUUCGGAGCGCAGCACAAGUCGCACUCUCUAUCAGCAAAGGUCUAGCAUCCAUUAAGCCUUUUUUUCAACUUUUGACCUCGGAUCAGGUAGGGAUACCCGCUGAACUUAAGCAUAUCAAUAAGCGGAGGA
rnacentral:misc_RNA from 1 species